AGAGGAGGAGAGAGAGUGGAUAACGCGAGGAGAAAUAGAGCGAAACCUGUACUUACAGUACGCUGUGUCCAGCCCAGAGGUGAGAGCCAUUCAAAGCAAACUAACUGUGCUAUUGUGCCCAAGUUGAUACCUGUGGAGAGAAAAGGAGAGAGAGUGGAUAACGCGAGGAGAAAUAGAGCGAAACCUGUACUUACAGUACGCUGUGUCCAGCCCAGAGGUGAGAGCCAUUCAAAGCAAACUAACUGUGCUAUUGUGCCCAAGUUGAUACCUGUGGAGAGAAAAGGAGAGAGAGUGGAUAACGCGAGGAGAAAUAGAGCGAAACCUGUACUUACAGUACGCUGUGUCCAGCCCAGAGGUGAGAGUCAUUCAAAGCAAACUAACUGUGCUAUUGUGCCCAAGUUGAUACCUGUGGAGAGAAAAGGAGAGAGAGUGAAUAACACGAGGAGGAAUAGAGCGAACCCUGUACUUACAGUACGUUGUGUCCAGCCCAGAAGUGAAAGCCAUCCAAAGCAGAGUAACUGUGUUUUGUGUCCAAGUUGAUACCUGUAGAGAGGAGGAGAGAGAGUGGAUAACGCGAGGAGAAAUAGAGCGAAACCUGUACUUACAGUACGCUGUGUCCAGCCCAGAGGUGAGAGCCAUUCAAAGCAAACUAACUGUGCUAUUGUGCCCAAGUUGAUACCUGUGGAGAGAAAAGGAGAGAGAGUGGAUAACGCGAGGAGAAAUAGAGCGAAACCUGUACUUACAGUACGCUGUGUCCAGCCCAGAGGUGAGAGCCAUUCAAAGUAAACUAACUGUGCUAUUGUGCCCAAGUUGAUACCUGUGGAGAGAAAAGGAGAGAGAGUGGAUAACGCGAGGAGAAAUAGAGCGAAACCUGUACUUACAGUACGCUGUGUCCAGCCCAGAGGUGAGAGCCAUUCAAAGCAAACUAACUGUGCUAUUGUGCCCAAGUUGAUACCUGUGGAGAGAAAAGGAGAGAGAGUGGAUAACGCGAGGAGAAAUAGAGCGAAACCUGUACUUACAGUACGCUGUGUCCAGCCCAGAGGUGAGAGCCAUUCAAAGCAAACUAACUGUGCUAUUGUGCCCAAGUUGAUACCUGUGGAGAGAAAAGGAGAGAGAGUGGGUAACACGAGGAGAGACCGAGGAAACCUGUACUUACGCCGCUGCCUGUGGAGAAAGAGAAAGCGAGUGAGCACCCAAGGAACGAACUGUGUGAACCAGUACUUCCUGUGAGCUGCAAUCAGCAAAGAGGUGAGAGCAAAACCAAGCCGAAUUAACUGUGCCUUUGCGUCCCAGCCGUUGCCUGUGGAGGAAGAGAAAGAGAGUGAGCACCCCGAGAACGAACUGUGUGAACCAGUACUUACCGUGAGUUGUAUUCAGCGAAGAGGAGGAAGAAGGAGGGCGCUACGGAUACCCAAGACUCUGGCCGGGCCCCGAGUCCCACGCCCCGGAUCCCCGUGGCCCCCUUGCUCCCUGACCUCUUCCCGGCCAUAGGCCAUCUGGAGGGCCGAGUCAGAGUUUAGUUUUAAUUGCCCUUUCCCUAUUCCCCAAGCUAUUUUUAAAUAUUUAAAUAAAGAUUGUUUUAUCACUUACUUGUUCUCGUGUUGUUUGGCCAUUGGGUUGGCUUUGGGGACCUCCUCGAGGUGGAAGUUGAGAAGGGGUGUGGCUUAGUCAAAGCAUAGCCGCCCCUGGGUGUGACAUAUUCAUGUUAUUUAAGGUGAUGUGCAAGGUUCUUCCAUCCACGAUAACCAUGGGUGCUUAGAGUGUUAUGUCUAAAUACAGCAUCAGUGCUCACAGAAUACAGAAGCCAUGACCUCUGGAUUUUUUUUUUUUUUUGAACUUGCCUUUUGUGAACAUUCUCAUUGGAACUUUUGAAAGUGUUUUUAGGAAAAUCAAAGUCCACAAUUUUAACUCGUCCAUUUCUAACAAUUUGACAACGAGUUUCAUCAUUUAUUAUGUCUGGCCACAACCUAGGAUCAACGCUGAGGGUUGCAGUAAGUGCAGCCUCUUCAGAUUCAGGAGGAGUAGAGGUAUCUUUUGCUGGAGAAGUAGAGGAGCUUUCUUCGGCUGGAGUGGUGGAGGUGGAGGUGGAGGUAGUAAGAAGAAGUGGGGGCGCAAUCAGUCUCAAACUGAAAUGAUGAUUGACUGCUCCUGGCUGGGUCUCGAGAGUUGACAUCUGAAGGUCCAUCACAGCCUAAAAGAAAUGUAUUAUUUAUUAUUACUAUUAUACAAAUUUUAAUUAAAAAUAAUUAUUUGAGAUCUAACACAUAUCUUCAGCUUGUGAAGAGGUGCCAUUAUCAAUUGGCACAGACAGAAAUUUAAGCAAAGCACCUAAAAAAACAUCUGGUGAAUAGCCAUACGUUUAUUGUUAUUCUCAUAGCAUAUCAUGAAAGUAAAGUGUGGAGGAUUCGAUAUUUACUUUAAAAGAAAAGAACUCCACUUCCCACAAUGCCACCGACAGUAACGUCAGACGCAAA
ensembl:lncRNA